AAUCCUGAAGAGACAAAGUAGACUAAC
rnacentral:piRNA from 1 species